UGCCAGCAGCCGCGGUAAUACGUAGGUGGCAAGCGUUGUCCGGAUUUACUGGGCGUAAAGAGCGCGCAGGCGGCCAGGUCAGUCGAAUGUGAAAGCCCGGGGCUCAACCCCGGAAGUGCAUUGGAAACUGGCGAACUUGAGUACGGGAGAGGAAAGUGGAAUUCCGAGUGUAGGGGUGAAAUCCGUAGAUAUUCGGAGGAACACCAGUGGCGAAGGCGGCUUUCUGGACCGAUACUGACGCUGAGACGCGAAAGCGUGGGGAGCAAACAGGAUUAGAUA
rnacentral:rRNA from 1 species